rnacentral:rRNA from 1 species
GGUAGUAUAAAACAUAAAAACCCAUAUUAUAUGGCGGUCACUGUUAUAUUGAGGAACUCGCUAUUUAAUCGUCAAUACCCGUUAAAUUUUACCUUUUUUAACAAUCUAUAUACCGCCGUUUCAAUAUAUCGAUAUAAAAUAUAACAUAAUUAAAUAAAAAAUCAGGUCAAGGUGUAGUAUAUAUAAAGGAUAUAGUAAGUUACAUUAAAAUUAAUUUUAGGAUUAAAAACCAAAACAAAAUAUGAAAAAGAAUCCAUUAUCACAAAUAAAUUAAAACUUUAUUUAGAAUUUUAAACAUAUGACGC